rnacentral:lncRNA from 1 species
UCAUUAUGGAGAGGUUAGCUUCUGGUGAUUUUAUUUUGCUUAAAAUUGCAACUGAUGAUAACCCUAUAGAUGUUGGAACAAAAGUACUUGCGGUUUGUAAGUUCAACAAAUGUUUAUCAAUACUUAGUAUUGAUAAUGGUUAAUUGUUGUGCAGGUACUAAAUUGGAGUGAGCGAUGAUGAUAAAAAUAAGACCACACUAAUAGAUAUCACUUGUAACCGGGAAAUUUGGCGAUGGAUGUUAUGUGAUCCAAGGUGAAGAUUUGUAAGAUGGAUCACAUCCUAAGAUUGGUACAAGUCUAUUGGUCUAGAGAAUGUGACUUGGAUUGUGCUAGUUAUGGAGUAAUAUGGACCAUAGAUUAAAUCCAAUAGUUGGAUUAAAUCCUGUGGUCAAUUACAUAUACUAGUAUUGUCACUCUCUUGUUGGCCAUAGUACAAUAUUUGAAUUUUGAAUUCAAAUGAAUUGGCUCUAUAAUUACAAGACAUCUUCAUUCUCUCCUUCUUGGAUUUGGCAUAACAUUUGAGAGAGAAUAGAGAGGUAAUCAAGUGGGAGCUUUCCAUAACUCCGGCGAAAUUCUUGGUGGUUUCCGGCGGAUCUUUUCUCGGUAUAUCUAUUACCAUUCUCGUGGAUGACGGAUUAUGAUCCGGUGUGACACAAAUCUGAGCUCAACAUCAAGAACACUUCAUUGGUGGUGUUGAAGAAGCUUUGGGUCAUUUUGGUUCGAUUUUACACUUUGAGAGUUUAUUAUUCCGCAUUGUAGUUGUAAUAAUUUUUUAUAUACUACAAUUUAAACUCUACAGAAAGGUUGGAGUAGCUCGGCUCGCAAUAUCGAUGGGUCCUUUCAGCCUUCAAAUUUGAAUGACAAUUCAACUAGGUCUAUAUCAUAUUUCAAAAUAGACCGUUUCAAACUCAGGCUGACCUAAGGUUUGGUUGUAGUCGAUUCGAUUUGGACUGACACAUUCGCUUUGACACUUAUUUAAGAAAAAUCUC